GAUGAACGCUAGCGGCAGGCUUAACACAUGCAAGUCGAGGGGUAUUGGUUUUCGGACCAAGAGACCGGCGCACGGGUGCGUAACGCGUAUGCAAUCUACCUUUUGCAGAGGGAUAGCCCCAGAGAAAUUUGGAUUAAUACCUCAUAGUAUAGUACUUUGGCAUCAAGGAACUAUUAAAGUCACAACGGCAAAGAUGAGCAUGCGUCCCAUUAGCUAGUUGGUAAGGUAACGGCUUACCAAGGCUACGAUGGGUAGGGGUCCUGAGAGGGAGAUCCCCCACACUGGUACUGAGACACGGACCAGACUCCUACGGGAGGCAGCAGUGAGGAAUAUUGGUCAAUGGGCGCAAGCCUGAACCAGCCAUGCCGCGUGCAGGAAGACGGUCCUAUGGAUUGUAAACUGCUUUUAUACAGGAAGAAACCCCUCCCACGUGUGGGAGCUUGACGGUACUGUAGGAAUAAGGAUCGGCUAACU
rnacentral:rRNA from 1 species